UACGUAGGGUGCAAGCGUUGUCCGGAAUUAUUGGGCGUAAAGAGCUCGUAGGCGGUUUGUCGCGUCUGCUGUGAAAACUCGGGGCUUAACCCCGGGCCUGCAGUGGGUACGGGCAGACUAGAGUGCGGUAGGGGAGACUGGAAUUCCUGGUGUAGCGGUGAAAUGCGCAGAUAUCAGGAAGAACACCCGUGGCGAAGGCGGCUCUCUGGAACGCAACUGACGCUGAGACGCGAAAAGCGUGGGGAGCAAACAGG
rnacentral:rRNA from 1 species